CAAAAUCAUCAUUUCAUGUGUGGAAAAGGUUGUAAAUGAUGAGGCAGCAGCAAAAGUCAUAUGCAAACAUCUGAUCUAGAAUUUUCUUCCCUCCCCAGAAGAUUAUCUCUCAGAGUUUUAACAACCCUUUUCACGUCCUAUCAAGUUCUGUAGUUAAAAAGGAUGAAUUAUUCCUUCUCCCUUUGGGGUUUCCAUUUAUCCUUGCAGCUACACAGCACCAGGAGAGGGGUUUCCAGCCUCCCCCAUCUGCAGACAGCUUCUGGCUCCCAGAAGAUUGUAUCUGCUAAGAGCUACCAGUACUGGAGAGAUUGUACAUUACAGCAAUUACAGACAAACUCUUCCAGACAGUUUGAAGACCAAAACUUUCUUUGUGUGGAAGUCCAAAGGCAAUUAUUGGCAUUACAGUUUAAGAGAAGCAUUCCAUCUCCGUGAUGCAACAGCAGUAGCUUUCUGUGGCAUGUUAAAUAAAGCAAUUUGCCCUGUAGGAGACUAAUGCAUGCAGCGCUGUAAUGAAAAAAAGUGAAAUCACAGUUGCUCUGAAAGGAAUGGCAACCUCUCUUCAAAAACAUAAAAAACUUCUUCUGGCUCCAUCUUAACUACAAAUUUCUGCUCUGGAGGAUAGAGAAAGCUUUAAAGAAAAGGGAAAGGAAUUGCUUUAACAGCUGCAUUAUAAUAAUGAAACGUUAGAGCAGAUGAUUUCUCCAGUCAUCGCCCAGACUGUUCUUUUAACGGUGAUGUGAUGAGGUUUGCAAAACAGACAGCACUAAUUUUUCUGAGACAGAGCCAGGUUUACUAGGACAAGCCCCAGAUACGAGGAAAUUCUCCAUUUUUGAGAACAAAUGAAGCCACUUAGCUUUCCCUGCCAUCAGAGCAAAUGCCAGUCUGGCAGUCUGAUGGAAAAGCUGAACAAGGCAAAGAAGAUUCUUGUGAGAGGAAGAAAAAGCAAAAAAGCUCAGCCAACUCAAUGCCUCAGCAAAACACCAAGUGGCAAGUCAAAGAGCAGCCUUUCAUGGAGUCAUGAUAUCGUUUGAGUUGGAAGGGACCUUUAAAGGCCAUCUGGUCCAACUCCUCUGCAAUGAAAAGGGACACCUAUAGCACAGUCAGGUGCUCACAGUUCCAUCCAGCCUGAUCUUGAAUGACUCUAGGAAUGGGGCAGCCAUGUCUCUGGGCAAUCUGUUCCACUUCAUCCUUCCAUAAGCAUCAGCAAGCAAAAUAGCAUGGGCUUCUCUGUACUGUAUUUAUGCUCUAUUUUAUGGUUGUUUUUAUUUCAUUAGAAAAUAUUUUUAAGACGGUUAGUUAAGGCUAGAAGGUCAUUUUGGGAUUUCAUGUGCCAUGUAUACUCUGUAAUGAACGAGUUUGUAUCACUAGUAUGAGCCUCACAUGAUGUUUGUUUAUACCCAGCAUCAGCUGACUGGAAAACCCAUCAUAUCAGCUGCAGUGACAGAUUGAACUGAUUGGUGAAGCACUCUCCAAUUAGUCCCAAAGAACUGCUUCUUGAAAGUUUUUCAUCACCUGGAGCUGAGCUUUCUGUAUAUCCAUCUGGUUUUAGAUACAACAACAACUCUAUAGAAAGCAGAAGAGAAUAUUCAAAUAAAUGUUUU
ensembl:lncRNA